rnacentral:rRNA from 1 species
AUUGAACGCUGGCGGCAGGCCUAACACAUGCAAGUCGAGCGAGCGGCGGACGGGUGAGUAAUGCCUGGGAAUUGCCCAGUCGAGGGGGAUAACAGUUGGAAACGACUGUUAAUACCGCAUACGAUUGGAUUGCCCAGGUUGUAUUAGCUAGUUGGUGAGGUAAUGGCUCACCUAGGCGACGAUCCCUAGCUGGUCUGAGAGGAUGAUCAGCCACACUGGGACUGAGACACGGCCCAGACUCCUACGGGAGGCAGCAGUGGGGAAUAUUGCACAAUGGGCGAAAGCCUGAUGCAGCCAUGCCGCGUGUAUGAAGAAGGCCUUCGGGUUGUAAAGCACUUUCAGCGGGGAGGCGUUACUCGCAGAAGAAGCACCGGCUAACUCCGUGCCAGCCGCCGCGGUAAUUC